rnacentral:tRNA from 2 species
GCCGGAUUAGCUCAGUUGGCAGAGCAGUUCAUUCGUAAUGAAAAGGUCACCAGUUCAAAUCCGGUAUCCGGCACCA